GCGAGUACACUGGAAGUGUGUGUU
rnacentral:siRNA from 1 species